CGCUCACCUGGACACUCACAAGUGUGUGUGUGGGGGGAGGGGUGCUCACCUGGACCCUCACGGGUGUUUGUGUGGGUGGGUGGACACUUGCCUGGACACUCACAGGUGUGUGUGUGUGUGGAUACUCACCUGGACAUUCACGGGUGUGUGUGUGUGUGUAGGGGGGACGCUCACCUUCAUACUCACGUGUGUGUGGGGGGGCACUCGCCUCCACACUCAUGAGUGUGUGUGACUGUGUGUGUGUGUGUGUGUGUGGUGGGGAUGCUUGCCUGGAUACUCACAGGUGUGUGUGUGUGUGGGGGUAGAUGCUUCCUUGGACAGUCACAGGUGUGUGUGUGGGUGGGGGAAGCUCGCCU
ensembl:lncRNA